rnacentral:rRNA from 1 species
CCUACGGGUGGCUGCAGUGAGGAAUAUUGGUCAAUGGACGCAAGUCUGAACCAGCAAUGCCGCGUGCAGGAAGACGGCUCUAUGAGUUGUAAACUGCUUUUGUACGAGGGUAAACGCAGAUACGCGUAUCUGUCUCAAGGGAUCGUACGAAUAAAGCUCGGGUAAAUCCGUGCCAGCAGCCGCGGGAAUACGGAGGAUUCAAACGUUUUCCGGGUUUAUUGGGUUUAAAAGGUGCGUAGGCGGUCGGAUAAGUUAGAGGUGAAAUCCCGAGGCUCAACUUCGGAAUUGCCUCUGAUACUGGUCGGCUAGAGAUUAGUUGCGGUAGGCGGAAUGUAUGGUGUAGCGGUGAAAUGCUUAGAGAUCAUACAGAACACCGAUUGCGAAGGCAGCUUACCAAGCUACUUCUGACGUUGAGGCACGAAAGCGUGGGGAGCAAACAGGAUUAGAUACCCUGGUAGUC